AGUAGUAGAUAAUGACUUUUUAAUUAUUCAAUAUAUUUUUAUUAUUUCAUAAUAUGCUAUAAACAUAUAAUAUAUAAAAUAAUUUAUAUAUAUAACGUUUAUUCCGCGCAAGGCGCGGGUCUUAACCUAGUAUAUAAUAUUUUAUAUACGUUUGAUUCUACGCCGUUGAUUUAGAAAGAGGAUAUAAAGCAGACGUUAGAGGAUUCAUAUUGUAGGGCUGGUUUCGAAAGAAGAGAAUCUCUUUGUAUCCAAAUAGUUGGCACUUGAGGACUUGAUGAUGAUGAACUUUAUGUGAUUUCUUUUUAAAUUAAAUUAAGGAAAUAUUCAUAAAUGUCAUCAAUCCAAAAGGGUUCGAUUUUGCCUGAAAUCAGAAAUAGCUUACAAAAUUUUGGCUUUACUUUGAUAUCCAGAUGGUGACUAGAGUCUAAAGACAAUUUGAGUAUCAAACUCGGAUGUAGUAGGGACAAUAAGCAAAGAUUUAUAUCUGAUCAUAAAUUACUUAGGAUGACUAAUAAAGAUCUAGUGAAGUAAUAGUUCUUUUUUUUAACUUUCUUUAUUCAUCUUUCUUCCCCUCCCAAAUGAGACAUCGUUUUUGAAAAUGCAGUACAAGCAAAAAUGACAUACAUAUAGCUAAUAUGGUUAAGAUAGUGAACCCAAAUAUAUCUAAAAAGGCAGAUACCGAAAGAAACACUUAUGAAGGAUGAUGAACCAAAAUCAAGGAAGAUAAAAGAAAUCACAAUAAACAGUGAUUGAAAACUCUUGAACCAUGAGUGAAAAUAGGUUGAGGAAUCGAUUGAGCGGCAUGGAAGAGAACCGCUGGAUCCAAAACAAAAAGCUUUGGUCUUAAAAGAAGCUGGAGCUCUUUGACCAAACUGACAAUAUGUCUUGAAUUCGAAGAAUAAAUCUUUGUAGCAGCAGAGCAAAGCCAGAUGAGGAUGUAGUUGAACUCAUGAGGAGGGUUAGAUUUAGAGAUAUUAAAUUCAGAAUUUCAAACUUCAAAAAAUAAGAGCAUUUGAAAAAUAAGUGGUCUGGAUCUUCAUAAUGUGAAUCAUAGUGGACCAGUGGUGGACCCAGACUCAAAUUUAAAGUGGGUCAUAAAUUAGACUAAGAGCAUGUGCAACGCAGGGUUUUAGAUAAUCCUUAGCUUUAGUCUUUAGCUUUUUAGGAAUAAAAAAAUAUUAAAAAAGAAGGAAAAGCUAAGGAUGAAUCCUUAAUUAAGGAGAAGAAGGAUCAAGUCCUUAAUAUGCUGGCGCAACGGGAUUGGUUCGAGCUUUCUAUUUUUUUUUCCUUGAUACAAAAAUAAAAAAACACAGAUCUUUAUCCGAUUACGGGAGAAAGCUAGAAACUUUGUUAAAAGCUAUGGCGAAGAAGAUGGGAGUGACGAUGGAAGUAGGGAACGAUGGCGUUGCUGUGAUCACCAUUUCGAAUCCUCCUGUUAACUCUCUGGCCAGCCCAAGUAUUAAAAAGCUCCUUACUUUUGAUUAAUUUCACGAUGUUGAUUUGCUUUCUCUUUUAAGCUGAUUUUUUAUUUUGUGGAAUUAUUUAGUUAUUUCUAGGUUGAAGGAGAAGUUCAAGAUGCGAAUCAUAGGAGUGAUGUUAAGGCCAUCGUCUUGACAGAGAACGGUGGAAGAUUCUCGGGUGGUUUCAACAUCAAUGUUUUCCAGCAAGUGCAUAAGACUGGUACACAAGCGGCAUUACUGGUAUUAACAAAGACGACGCAGUUCAUCUCUUCCAGUCCAUGCUUCGGUCUGAAGCAAUGAGUUUGAUAGAUCGGAUGGUGGAACACGGCUUCCGACCUGAUGGAGUUACCUAUGGAACGGUUUUGAACAGAUUGUGCAAGUACGGGGAGACUUCCAUGGCCUUGGAUUUUCUCAGGAAGAUCAAGCACCAGGAAGCCGCUUGUUGCUGCAGUUGAAGGAUUAGCUCUUGGUGGUGGUUUAGAACUGGCUAUGGUGAAACUUUUCAAGUUUAUUUUUAAAAGUAUCUUUUUGUUGUUGUUUUUGUGUUGUUCUUGUGUUGUUGAUUGUACUACUUGUAAAAAAAAA